UACGUAGGGGGCAAGCGUUGUCCGGAAUUAUUGGGCGUAAAGCGCGCGCAGGCGGUUUCUUAAGUCUUGUGUUUAAUCCCGGGGCUCAACCUCGGUUCGCAUGGGAAACUGGGAAACUGGAGUGCAGGAGAGGAAAGUGGAAUUCCGCGUGUAGCGGUGAAAUGCGUAGAGAUGUGGAGGAACACUCGUGGCGAAGGCGGCCACCUGGACCAGUACUGACGCUGAGGCACGAAAGCGUGGGGAGCAAACAGG
rnacentral:rRNA from 1 species